AGUGAACGCUGGCGGAGUGACUAAUACCUGCAAGUCGAAGGAAGUGGCGCCCGGGUGAGUCAUAUAUAGCUAAUCUGCCAAUUGCUGGAGGACAACAGUUCGAAAUGACUGCUAAUACUUCAUAGCAAGGGAUGAGACUCUAUCGUAUCAGCUAGUCGGUGGGGUAACGGCCUACCGCGGCUAUGACGCGUACCUGGUCUGAGAGGAGGAUCAGUCACAUUUGAACAGAGACACGGUCCAAACUCGUACGGGAGGCAGCAGUAGGGAAUAUCGCGCAAUGGGGGAGACCCUGACGCAGCAACGCCGCGUGGAGUAUGACACUUUGCUGAGCGUAAACUCCUUUUGUUAGGGAAGCGGUACCUAACGAAUAAGCACCGGCUAACUCCGUGCCAGCAGCCGCGGUAAUAC
rnacentral:rRNA from 1 species